rnacentral:rRNA from 1 species
UACAGAGGUCUCAAGCGUUGUUCGGAUUCAUUGGGCGUAAAGGGUGCGUAGGCGGCGCGGUAAGUCGGGUGUGAAAUCUCGGAGCUUAACUCCGAAACUGCAUUCGAUACUGCCGUGCUUGAGGACUGGAGGAGGAGACUGGAAUUCACGGGUGUAGCAGUGAAAAUGCGGCAGAUAUCAAGGGAGGGAACACCGGUGGGCCGAAGGCG